GAUGAACGCUGGCGGCGUGCCUAAUACAUGCAAGUCGAGCGAACAGACGAGGAGCUUGCUCCUCUGACGUUAGCGGCGGACGGGUGAGUAACACGUGGAUAACCUACCUAUAAGACUGGGAUAACUUCGGGAAACCGGAGCUAAUACCGGAUAAUAUAUUGAACCGCAUGGUUCAAUAGUGAAAGACGGUUUUGCUGUCACUUAUAGAUGGAUCCGCGCCGCAUUAGCUAGUUGGUAAGGUAACGGCUUACCAAGGCAACGAUGCGUAGCCGACCUGAGAGGGCGAUCGGCCACACUGGAACUGAGACACGGUCCAGACUCCUACGGGAGGCAGCAGUAGGGAAUCUUCCGCAAUGGGCGAAAGCUUGACGGAGCAACGCCGCGUGAGUGAUGAAGGUCUUCGGAUCGUAAAACUCUGUUAUUAGGGAAGAACAAAAGUGUAAGUAACUAUGCACGUCUUGACGGUACCUAAUCAGAAAGCCACGGCUAACUACGUG
rnacentral:rRNA from 1 species